CAACUUUCAACAACGGAUCUCUUGGCUCUCGCAUCGAUGAAGAACGCAGCGAAAUGCGAUAAGUAAUGUGAAUUGCAGAAUUCAGUGAAUCAUCGAAUCUUUGAACGCACCUUGCGCCCCUUGGUAUUCCGAGGGGCACGCCUGUUCGAGUGUCGUG
rnacentral:rRNA from 1 species